GUUUGCCAACUUCGACCGCGGCCUCGGCCACUCGACAAAACACGCCUCCUGGCCGCUGGCAGCAGCUCGCGACAAAAAAGGUUUCCUUCUUCCGCGUGGUUAUCCUUGGCCACGCGAUGGCUCUCAUUCUGUACACAAAGGCACCUUCUCGUCUAAAUGAACUUGGCUAAUGACGGCGAUGCUCUGGCAACUGAGUUGGAAACCGAGAGAGGAAGCGAGUUGAUGGCUAGAAGACAAACUUUAGGGGCAGGGGGAGGGGCGCACAUGAUUUCUUUCAAAUAGCGAAGAGGAAAUAGUGGAACUUGAAACGCUCUCGCUGGAGGUCCGGCUUGAUCCGGCCAACGCUCGCCUUUUGCUGGAGCGCAUAAUAUCAAAGCGAUUAUUAAAGCUGGUGAGACGGUCCGAAGAGGAACCCGGGCACCUGUCGGGGCACACCUCGUUCCAAUGGGUGUCUUAUCUUCUCAAGCUGUCUCAAGGCCAAGAAAAGAAACAAAGUUGUUAAAGUUAUUUUUCACAGCCUGCAAACCCUUCAAAGGCACAAAAGCCAGAAAAAUGUAUCAAUACAUCCAGUUAUUUUGAUGCCAGGUCCAGGAAGUAAUUGCAGAAUGUAUUGCAUUAAUCUACUCAACAACCAUUGAUCAAGCAAGAAUUCCAUCGGGCCCUGUCCUAGGUGGAGGGAUGAUGACUCACUCAGUCUUGCAUCCAUCCCUUUUGCUUCUAAUCUCUGGGGGACAGAUAUUUUUUAAAAACGUAUAUGUAGACUGCUGGGCUCGCACAAGGAUUUUAUAGUCAUCUCUUCACAUCUCAGGUGUGGGAUCUGGGACUACCUAAAGAAAGCUGACCAUAGUCUUUUCAAGGGCCUGGUGCGGGGCUAAAACCCUCUUAUGAUUUUUAUCGACCCCAUCAGGAUUAUCUUCAUCUCUUAAUUACAUGAAUAAUGUAACUCGUAAGACUACUUUAGUAGGUAAUCACUUUUCUCCUAGCCUGCACUUCUCUUCCCAUCCUUUUUCCUCUAUAGCCCAGUCCUCCUCUUCCUUUGCCUGGAGGCUUGGACUCAAGGGGACAGAGUAAAGAGUACAGCCUUUGCCCUCUUUUGGCCUCAUCAUACAUCUGUAGUGUGCUUUACGGUUUAUGAAACACUUAGGUGGCCUUACUUAAUAGUACAGUGAAGUAUGUUAUUAUUUUUCUCUAGAG